rnacentral:lncRNA from 1 species
AAAAUUACGGUUUCUUGUUCAUUUCCGGAAAGAAAGAAAAAGAUAAAAAGACUAGUUAGGAAUUUUGUGUUGGGGACUCUCAUUCGGUCAAGAGGAAAAUAUAUGUUUUUGUCAUCAUCCUCCAACAUUAAUUGUGCGUAGUCAAUCAAUGAUUAUUUCCCUCUUCAAAUUUCAACUUAAACUUUUCUCACCAGUUAUUUAUAUUUCCAAAUUAUAUUUAAAUGUAUACUUUUACAAAUGUUACAGGAAACAUUUAUCAAUGU